GAAGAACAUCCUCUGCUGGGCCUUCUUGGUGAUGGAGCCGAUGUUCAGCUCCCACUUGAGGUCCUGGGAGAUGAUGGAGCCCAGGAAGCGGCGUGUCCGUGGCGGGGCAGCAUGCCGUGGUGAUUGGUCGCAGUCCGAUCGUGGGCGUCCCGAUGGCCGCGCUGCUGCUGUGGAGCCACGCCACCGUGACCACCUGCCACUCACACACCCGGGACCUGCCUGCACAGGUGAGGGCUCACCGGGACCCACCUGGGCCCACCUGGACCCACCGGGACCCACCGGGACCCACCGGGACCCACCUGGGCCCACCUGGACCCACCUGGACCCACCUGGGCCCACCUGGACCCACCGGGACCCACCUGGGCCCACCUGGGCCCACCGGGACCCACCUGGACCCACCUGGACCCACCUGGGCCCACCUGGACCCACCUGGACCCACCGGGACCCACCUGGGCCCACCUGGACCCACCGGGACCCACCUGGGCCCACCUGGGCUCACCUGGACCCACCUGGACCCACCUGGGCCCACCGGGACCCACCUGGACCCACCUGGACCCACCUGGGCCCACCGGGACCCACCUGGACCCACCUGGACCCACCUGGACCCCAGGGGGCGCUGGAUCGGCUUCCUGUGUGAGGUGAUGCGUUUCCUGUCUGACUGCAGAUGAGACGAAGGCCAGCGGGAAACGGGUCGUCGGGGACGUCCACUACGCCUCGGCCAAUCAGAGAGCAGGAUUCAUCACACCUGUUCCAGGGGGGGUGGGGCCUAUGACCGUGGCCAUGCUCAUGGAGAACACGGUGCAGAGCGCUCAGCGGUUCCUCCUGAUGAAGACGAGGAGAUGAAGAUGAACAACAAGGAUUCUUUGAUAUAUUUGAAUGAAUAUGUUUGAAUACUUUCUGCUUCUCUAAAAGUAGAAAAAUGUUUUUGCUCAAAUAAAAAUAAAAAGUAUAAUUGA